CUUGCUGAUAAGGAAUAGUCUUAACGUUAUCAUCUGAAAACUUGUGAAUCCCACAAUCCAGUUGUUCGCUAUUCCGAGCUCCGAGAGGUACUCCAUUUGGAAAUAUAAGUUUGAGAGAGUGCUUAGGACCUUUACAAGGAUUCAAUUGUUGAGUAGCAUGGAAACAGUUAAAGGUUGUUCGGAAAGGAAAUGCUCCAGCAAAGUCAUGAGGAGAGAGUGUAGUUGGCCUUUAAGUAGGCUAUAACUCCUAUCCUUUAGAUUGAGGUUGAUUGUGGUAUUGUUUAAAUAUGGGUGUGCGGCUAGUAUGUCAUCUCUUCUUAUCAGAAACGAUUUUGAAGGGUUGAUUUUUCAUGCCAUUUUGGGUUUAGUACCAUUUUGUCAAAGGGGUGUUUAUCUGUCGGUACUUGUUAAUGACCUAUUAGGUUUUUUUAUCUAUCAUUGCAUGCAUAGUAUCUAGUUGGUUGUUUAUUUAUUUUUGAAUUUAUCUUUGUCCUUAGUCUAGGAUAGACUAGUGUUGCCUUAGACCCAUGCACCUGGUUUACUUUUAUAUGUAUUCGACGCCAAUGUGGACUGACUAAAUCAUUGUAGAUCGGUAUAGAAAACUUGGGUCUGAUAGUUUAGCUUAGCGUUGGGAUUUUUAUUGCUUGUGAUCUUUUUGGCUUCUCUCCUUAUUUCUACGAUACUAAUUUGUUAUUGGAGGCAUGGUAUUUUCCUGGUUGGGUGCUACGCGGUCGAUUCUGGUGUGAGGUACUUGGUAGUGGAUGUUGAUUGACGUUGGCUUGGAGUUGAUUCACCCAUUUUUGGAAUUACAGAUCCUCUACGGA